rnacentral:rRNA from 1 species
UACGUAGGUGGCAAGCGUUGUCCGGAUUUACUGGGUGUAAAGGGCGUGUAGCCGGGUCGGCAAGUCAGAUGUGAAAUCUGGAGGCUCAACCUCCAAACUGCAUUUGAAACUGCUGAUCUUGAGUAUCGGAGAGGUAAUCGGAAUUCCUAGUGUAGCGGUGAAAUGCGUAGAUAUUAGGAGGAACACCAGUGGCGAAGGCGGAUUACUGGACGACAACUGACGGUGAGGCGCGAAAGCGUGGGGAGCAAACAGG